rnacentral:rRNA from 1 species
GACUAUGGCUCAGGAUGAACGCUGGCGGCGUGCCUAACACAUGCAAGUCGAACGGAGUCACGAGAGCUUGCUUUGUGACUUAGUGGCGGACGGGUGAGUAAUGCGUGAGCAACCUGCCUUUCAGAGGGGGACAACAGUUGGAAACGACUGCUAAUACCGCAUAACGUAUUUGGGCGGCAUCGUCUGGAUACCAAAGGAGCAAUCCGCUGAAAGAUGGGCUCACGUCUGAUUAGCUAGUUGGUGGGGUAAUGGCUCACCAAGGCUGCGAUCAGUAGCCGGACUGAGAGGUUGAACGGCCACAUUGGGACUGAGAUACGGCCCAGACUCCUACGGGAGGCAGCAGUGGGGAAUAUUGGGCAAUGGGCGAAAGCCUCGACCCAGCAACGCCGCGUGAAGGAAGAAGGUCUUCGGAUUGUAAACUUCUUUUAUGAGGGACGAAGGACGUGACGGUACCUCAUGAAUAAGCCACGGCUAACUACGUGCCAGCAGCCGC